rnacentral:rRNA from 1 species
UACGAAGGGGGCUAGCGUUGCUCGGAAUCAUUGGGCGUAAAGCGCGUGUAGGCGGUUCCGUAAGUCCGCUCUGAAAGCCCAGGGCUCAACCCUGGGAGGCGGGUGGAUACUACGGAACUGGAGUACGGAAGAGGAGAUUGGAAUUCCUGGUGUAGCGGUGAAAUGCGCAGAUAUCAGGAGGAACACCAACAGCGAAGGCAGAUCUCUGGGACGUUACUGACGCUGAGACGCGAAAGCGUGGGGAGCAAACAGG